AUUGAACGCUGGCGGCAGGCUUAACACAUGCAAGUCGAGCGGAGACUUCGGUCUUAGCGGCGAACGGGUGAGUAAUACCUAGGAAUCUGCCUAUUAGUGGGGGAUAACGAAUCGAAAGGUUCGCUAAUACCGCAUACGUCCUACGGGAGAAAGGGGGGGGAUCUUCGGACCUCUCGCUAAUAGAUGAGCCUAGGCCGGAUUAGCUAGUUGGUAGGGUAAAGGCCUACCAAGGCGACGAUCCGUAGCUGGUCUGAGAGGACGACCAGCCACACUGGAACUGAGACACGGUCCAGACUCCUACGGGAGGCAGCAGUGGGGAAUUUUGGACAAUGGGGGCAACCCUGAUCCAGCCAUUCCGCGUGAGUGAAGAAGGCCUUCGGGUUGUAAAGCUCUUUCGGCAGGAACGAAACGGUGGUCCCUAAUACGGAUUGCUAAUGACGGUACCUGAAGAAGAAGCACCGGCUAACUACGUG
rnacentral:rRNA from 1 species